GAGAUGCUCUUGUGGCUGAUGACAUCAACACUGCUACAGAGGACACUGAAGUCAAGAGGAAUUCUGUUGACUCCCUGCCUGGCAAUUUCUCCUCUCCUGAAUCAGUCUUGGAGGCUACACCCAUGGGAUUUCUGAACCUGGGCUUCUGUGAAGAAGAUUCAUCCCAGGGGUCAGAUAUUCCCAGUGACCAGCCCCAGGUGGCACCCAUGACAUCUGUAUCCAGGCCACUCAGGAUCUGGAAACUGGUGAGGAAGCAAAUGUCCCAUGCACUGAGAGCACUGUGCUGCUGCUGUUGCUGCCUGCCCACCCCAAGUGUGGAAACUGAAAUGGUCCAAUAGAGUUCCAGAACUGGUGAGGAGCCACAGAAGGGACCCAAGACAGAUCGCCAGAGUGCCAGCUCCCUCCAACACAGAGCAACAGGCUCCUGCCUGCAUUAAUCCUCCAGCUAUUGGGUCUGAGCUACCAAUCUGCAUCUCUUUCAGCUCAAUUCAGCUUCAGAGCUGUUGUGGGACAAUUGGGGGUCAUAAGGCACAUGGACCCCAUGACCCUCUACCUUCCUAGCUUUGGUUGUGCUUGUAGGACCACUCACACUGCAUCGAAAACAGCAACCUCUACAACCAGGAAGGACUUCAUACCAAUCACGGCUGCUCAUCAUCUUGGUCACUUUAACCCUCCAACUUACUCUGUGACUGCCUUAUGGACAAAACAGCAAGACCUGUAUAAGUCCUCUGGAGAAUGGAGAUCUGAGGUAUACCAGGAGAAAGAUGCAGCACUAUUGGUCAGUGGAGUCCCAUCCUCUUCAGUGCUGACCUCCUUCAUCCAGGCUUCCCAUGGUGCCUCCCACCUCCUGAUCCAAAAAUUCUGCAUCAUUUUUCCAUCUCAUAGAGGCAUUUAUAAUGAUAUUAACAUUGUUCUGCUCCAAUGUGGGAAGGACACCUUCCAGUUAGGGAACAGCUCACUGAUUUGGAAACGGGAAAUGAAAUCGACAGGGAAUCCAGGGUCCUAAUAUGUGUGAAUCAUGAACCUGAAGUUGACCUCCAGCUCCAUCUGACCAUCUGACCAUCUGACCCUGGACUGUUAGCAAACACUGAUGCAAACGAGAGUCUGUGGUUGGAUCUUCCCAGUGGAUGAUGGCCAGCUUGUGCUGUCACUGACUUCUAGAACCCUGACCAUCUGGUGAGUCCCAAGUGCAGAUAACAAGAUCAGUCAGUUUGUUCAGGAAGAGAGAGAAAUUUUCAGUUUGUGGGUAUCACCUGGUGUCAGACUGUGUUUCUGCUGCAUAUCAGUGAA